rnacentral:rRNA from 1 species
UGGGGAAUAUUGCACAAUGGGCGAAAGCCUGAUGCAGCGACGCCGCGUGAGGGAUGACGGCCUUCGGGUUGUAAACCUCUUUCAGCAGGGAAGAAGCGAAAGUGACGGUACCUGCAGAAGAAGCGCCGGCUAACUACGUGCCAGCAGCCGCGGUAAUACGUAGGGCGCAAGCGUUGUCCGGAAUUAUUGGGCGUAAAGAGCUCGUAGGCGGUUAGUCGCGUCUGCUGUGAAAACUCGAGGCUCAACCUCGGGCUUGCAGUGGGUACGGGCUGACUAGAGUGCGGUAGGGGUGACUGGAAUUCCUGGUGUAGCGGUGGAAUGCGCAGAUAUCAGGAGGAACACCGAUGGCGAAGGCAGGUCGAC